rnacentral:rRNA from 1 species
UACGGGGGGGGCAAGCGUUGUUCGGAAUUACUGGGCGUAAAGGGCUCGUAGGCGGCCAACUAAGUCAUACGUGAAAUCCCUCGGCUUAACCGGGGAACUGCGUCUGAUACUGGAUGGCUUGAGUUCGGGAGAGGGAUGCGGAAUUCCAGGUGUAGCGGUGAAAUGCGUAGAUAUCAGGAGGAACACCGGUGGCGAAGGCGGUUCUCUGGGCAUGAUCUGACGCUGAGGAGCGAAAGUGUGGGGAGCGAACAGG